AGUGCAAAAAAUCCCAAAAAUUCUUCCAUUUGGUUUAGCAUCAACUUAGCCUAACUCGCACACGACCUAAGUUGAUGCUAAACCAAAUGGGAGAUUUUUUGGGAUUUUUUGCAC
rnacentral:pre_miRNA from 12 species